UCCAGACUCCUACGGGAGGCAGCAGUGGGGAAUAUUGCACAAUGGGGGAAACCCUGAUGCAGCAACGCCGCGUGAGUGAAGAAGUCAUUCGUGAUGUAAAGCUCUAUCAGCAGGGAAGAAAAUGACGGUACCUGAGUAAGAAGCCCCGGCUAACUACGUGCCAGCAGCCGCGGUAAUACGUAGGGGGCAAGCGUUAUCCGGAUUUACUGGGUGUAAAGGGAGCGUAGACGGCAGUGCAAGUCUGGAGUGAAAGGCGGGGGCUCAACCCCCGGACUGCUCUGGAAACUGUACGGCUGGAGUGCAGGAGAGGUAAGUGGAAUUCCUAGUGUAGCGGUGAAAUGCGUAGAUAUCUGGAGGAACAUCAGUGGCGAAGGCGGCUAUCUGGCACAUAACUGACGCUGAGGAGCGAAAGCGUGGGUAGCAAACAGGAUUAGAUACCCUAGUAUA
rnacentral:rRNA from 1 species